ACCCCCGUGCGAAUGCCCUAACAGUUCUCCGCCAGAGAACAAGGAGCUGGUAUCAGGCACACCCUAUUUAAGCCCACGACGCCUUGCUCAGCCACACCCCCAAGGGUACUCAGCAGUGAUCGACAUUAAGCCAUGAGUGAAAACUUGACUUAGUUAAAGCUAAGAGGGCCGGUAAAACUCGUGCCAGCCACCGCGGUUAGACGAGAGGCUCAAGCUGACAGACUACGGCGUAAAGAGUGGUUAAGGGUAAUUAUUAAUAAAGCCGAAAGCCCUCAAUGCUGUUAUACGCAUGCCGAGAAUAAGAAGCUCAAUCACGAAAGUGGCUUUACCUCCCCCCUGAUUCCACGUAAGCCAGGGCACAAACUGGGACUAGAUACCCCACUAUGCCUGGCCCUAAACAUAGAUAUUUGAUACACUUAUUAUCCGCCUGGGAACUACGAGCAUAAGCUUGAAACCCAAAGGACUUGGCGGUGCUUUAGACCCCCCUAGAGGAGCCUGUCCUAGAACCGAUAACCCCCGUUCAACCUCACCCUUCCUUGUCUUUCCCGCCUAUAUACCGCCGUCACCAGCUUACCCUAUGAAGGUCCAAUAGUAAGCAGAAUUGGCACAGCCCAGAACGUCAGGUCGAGGUGUAGCGCAUGGAGGGGGAAGAGAUGGGCUACAUUCCCUAAUGAAGGGAAUUACGAACGAUGAACUGAAAUGUUUAUACUGAAGGAGGAUUUAGCAGUAAGCAAGGAGUAGAGAGCCCUGCUGAAGCCGGCCCUGAAGCGCGCACAUACCGCCCGUCACUCUCCCCAAGAUUAGCUAAUGAAACUUACUAAGACACCAAUAUAAUAAAGGGGAGACAAGUCGUAACAUGGUAAGUGUACCGGAAGGUGUACUUGGAAAAAU
rnacentral:ncRNA from 1 species